rnacentral:rRNA from 1 species
AUUGAACGCUGGCUGCCGGCCUAACACAUGCAAGUCGAGCGAGCGGCGGACGGGGGAGUAAUGUAUGGGGACUGCCCGCUAGAGGGGGAUAACUACUGGAAACGGUCGCUAAUACCGCAUACUAUCGGAUAACCCAUAUGGGAUUAGCUAGUAGGUGAGGUAAUGGCUCACAUGGGCGACGAUCCCUAGCUGGUCUGAGAGGAUGAUCAGCAAACAUGGGACUGCGACAGGGACCGGACUCCCAGGGAGCCAGAGGGGGGGAAUAUUGCACAAUGGGCGAAGGCCGGAUGCAGCCAGGCCGCGUGUAGUAUGAAGGCCCUAGGGUUGUAAGGUACGUUCAGUCGGGAGGCGUUACCGACAGAAGAAGCACCGGCUAACUCCGUGCCAGUCGCCGCGGUAAUUC